AGUGAACGCUGGCGGUAGGCCUAACACAUGCAAGUCGAACGGCAGCACAGUAAGAGCUUGCUCUUACGGGUGGCGAGUGGCGGACGGGUGAGGAAUACAUCGGAAUCUACUUUUUCGUGGGGGAUAACGUAGGGAAACUUACGCUAAUACCGCAUACGACCUACGGGUGAAAGCAGGGGAUCUUCGGACCUUGCGCGAUUGAAUGAGCCGAUGUCGGAUUAGCUAGUUGGCGGGGUAAAGGCCCACCAAGGCGACGAUCCGUAGCUGGUCUGAGAGGAUGGUCAGCCACACUGGAACUGAGACACGGUCCAGACUCCUACGGGAGGCCGCAGUGGGGAAUAUUGGACAAUGGGCGCAAGCCUGAUCCAGCCAUACCGCGUGGGUGAAGAAGGCCUUCGGGUUUUAAAGCCCUUUUGUUGGGAAAGAAAAGUAGCAGGUUAAUACCCCGCUGUUCUGACGGUACCCAAAGAAUAAGCACCGGCUAACUUCGUG
rnacentral:rRNA from 1 species